GGCGUCCGGGUGAGUAACACGUGGGUAAUCUGCCUUCGGGUGGGGAAUAACCCAGGGAAACUUGGGCUAAUACCGCAUAAUGCAGCGGCACCUAAUGGUGAUUAGUUGUUAAAGCGGGGGAUCGCAAGACCUCGCGCCUGAAGAGGAGCCUGCGGCAGAUUAGCUAGUUGGUGAGGUAAUGGCUCACCAAGGCUGCGAUCUGUAGCUGGUCUGAGAGGACGGCCAGCCACACUGGCACUGACACACGGGCCAGACUCCUACGGGAGGCAGCAGUGGGGAAUUUUGGGCAAUGGGCGAAAGCCUGACCCAGCAACGCCGCGUGAGGGAGGAAAUCCUUCGGGAUGUAAACCUCACAAGCAAGGGAAGAGAGCUGUGGGCUGAAUAAUCCCACAGUACGACGGUACCUUGCGUAAGCCACGGCUAACUACGUGCCAGCAGCCGCGGUAAUACGUAGGUGGCAAGCGUUGUUCGGAAUUAUUGGGCGUAAAGGGCGCGUAGGCGGUUUGUUAAGUCGGCUGUGAAAGCCCGGGGCUCAACCCCGGAGGGUCAGCCGAUACUGGCAGACUAGAGUACGGAAGAGGUAGCUGGAAUUCCCGGUGUAGCGGUGAAAUGCGUAGAUAUCGGGAGGAACACCUGAGGCGAAGGCGGGCUACUGGGCCGAUACUGACGCUGAUGCGCGAAAGCCAGGGGAGCGAACGGGAUUAGAUACCCCGGUAGUCC
rnacentral:rRNA from 1 species